GAUCGGGCAAUAUCAGCCAGCUCAGAGCCUGUCUUCAAGGCCCCCAGGCCCAUGCGGAGGCAGCCAUGCAGUCCUCCCAGCUAGAAAGAAACCAAGGGUCUGGAGGGGAGGUGCUCAGAGAAGGAGAGGCAUUGCUGGCAGGUGGCUGAGAGAGGAGCCUGGGGAGAAGGAGAGAUUUUAAUAUGCCCUGGGACAGGAAAGAAGGGGCUCUCCAGGUUGGACGUUUCCUGGGGCUUGAUGCUUGUCUCACCAGAUCCCUCUGGGAACGGAGGAUUCCGCGUGCGUCUCCCUGCUGGGACACGCAAACCCCUCGCAGGUCAGUGAGCUUGCAGGAUGUGCCGUCGCGGGCGGGGACCAUGAGCUGCCGCUGGCCGUCCACGGUGGUGCAGUGCAGGUCACACGGUUUGCUGGAGAUGUGGACAUAGUCAUCUGGUGGAGGGAGACAAAGACAGAAGGUUUCAGCAGGGCAGGAAAUGCCGGAUUCAGAGGACUUCCCUUUUCCUCUCUCUGAGACAGCUCCCAUUGCAUAGAUGGGGAAACUCAGGCCUGGAGAAUAGAAGGAACCUGUCCAGGUCUCAGUGGCAGAAACUGAUGGGUCGCCUGACUCAGCCCACACCCCGUGAGUUCCAGCUUCUACCUCCUCAUGAGUGGGGAGCAGCGCCUGAGACCCAUACUGGGGAUCCCCCUCUGCAGGAGGUCUGAGCCAACUCGACACCCCUGUGCUGCUGGCCCUGGGCACCCCAGCCCUGGCCCUUGCGGGUGAGCAGGAGAAGGAUGAAGCAUUUACACUGUUGCCUGAACUACUUGCUUUCCAUGGGACCGUGUGGGCAGUCUCCGUUUGGGAUCGUCUAGGCUGGUUCCUGUCUGUGCCCAGGAGCCAGUAAGUGAGCAAGUCACCACUGCCCUCAGAGGUCAGGCCUGCAGGGAACUCAGUCCCGUAAUCUGUCCUGCGUUGAUGUCAUGGGUCAUGGAGGAGGGGACAGACCCCUGGGCCAGGGCUCAGGAGACCCAGGUUCAUUCCUGGCUCUUCGUCUGACCACCUCCAUUUCCCCACCUGCCCACCAGUCGAGUUUGGUCCCAGGUGCCAGAAGGGCUACCCCCAAAGCUCAGUCAGCUCCCUGCAAGGUGGGUCCCCAGGGCGGCAGGUACCCGGGUACAGAGGCUUCCACUGGUGCGUCCGCCCGUUGUACACGUGGGAGUUGAAGGAGACGCACUGCUCCUCGCGGAAGCUCCUCCCGUCCGGCGGACACUCCUGGGAAGCGAAGGGACAGGGAGGCUCCAGGAGGAACUCGGCCCGACAAAGGCAUUUUUGUCCAGGCUAAGCAGGAAGUGGCUGCAGCCGGGACAGCCGGGACAGCCGUGUGGGGGCCACGGCCCACGGGGUGGCCUCUCGGGCUCCUGCGCGCUCCCACGCGCUCUCAGGAGGGAGCAAGGACGCAGGGAAGGGCAGCUCCGCCCCCCACGCCAGCCCUCCGCCUACUCUAGACACAACCCUCCCAGUCCCCACCACGCCUUCUCCCAGCCUUGCGGUGGAGGGGACAUGACCCUAGGAUGGCUGGCAAGGGUGCUCCCGUCGCCCGCGUCCUCAGCAGGCCCUGACUGUGUGUCUACAGUGCCGGAACAGGGCCUGGCACACGGUCCGUGGCCAUGCACACUGCGUGAAUCAGGAAGAUCGUGGUCCUGACUCCAUAAAGAGGAACCCAGCGUGCAGACAAGAGACUCAUCCUCGGAGGGGACCCAGCUUAGUCGUGCCGGGGCCAGAGCUCAAACCUGGGUCCCUCUCAUGCUGGAGCUCAUAAAUGCCCCUCCCCCAACCCUGGCGGCACCGCCCUAGGAGGGCAGCUGACCAGGUGACGCCAACACAGAAGCGGUGGCCACCUGCCUCCCUCCAGCCCCUCACUCCCUGCACGUGUGCACACACCCCCUGAGACACACAGACACAGAGACCCCCAGCUGCUCUGCCUUCCCUGCCCAGGCAAGCCACACGAGCCAGCCUGGGAGGCCCAGAUCCCAGCUCGGCGUGCCCCAGCCUCAUGCCCUGCAGUCCUUGGAAAGGUGUUCAGGUUCCAACUGCCCAGGGCCCCACUGAGAGCUGCCUGGUCAGAGUCAGAACCUCCUCUCCAGCCUCGGCUACCCAAAGAAGCUGAUGGGGGCUGGAGCAGAAGGGCUCCGAGAGCAACCCAGGGAACUGUUUUAUGGGGUGGGGGGUACUGUUUCAUGGGACGGGGAAGUCUGGCAACUGCUGGGUCUCUGUGAGCACCAGGUGCACGAAUGUUGUGAGUAAAGUGGAGCUGCGACCAG
rnacentral:lncRNA from 1 species